rnacentral:snoRNA from 1 species
AAGAUCAUGCUUUCAGAGGUUAUUUCUUUAUCUGAUGAGUGCCUCUGAAAGGUUGGUCUUGUUAAUCCUGAUGUAGCCUUGUGGUGUUUUUUCUGAGCAUGAAAAUGGUGGAGAGUAUUGUUCUCUGGUAGUUGUUUUUUAUUGUAGAAGAGUGUUUUCUUCUUUCUCAGAAGAGCAGGUAUGAAAAACAGUCUGG